rnacentral:rRNA from 1 species
UACGUAGGUGGCAAGCGUUGUCCGGAAUUAUUGGGCGUAAAGCGCGCGCAGGCGGUCUUUUAAGUCUGAUGUGAAAGCCCACGGCUCAACCGUGGAGGGCCAUUGGAAACUGGGAGACUUGAGUGCAGAAGAGAAGAGUGGAAUUCCACGUGUAGCGGUGAAAUGCGUAGAGAUGUGGAGGAACACCAGUGGCGAAGGCGACUCUUUGGUCUGUAACUGACGCUGAGGCGCGAAAGCGUGGGGAGCAAACAGG